rnacentral:lncRNA from 1 species
GCAGCUGCAUGCCGUUCUUCCCUUCCCCUUUCACAACAGAAACGUGAAUCAGACCAGUAGAGAUUACUUUGUGAACUUGUGAGGGAGAGAUGAGACCUUGAGAGAGGAGUGGGCAGCUGCAUAGAGGAGAGGAAAAAGAGAGCUGGAAAACGUGAGAGGAAGAAGAAGGAGGAGAACCAGCAGCUGAAUAGUGUCAAACCUUCCUCAAACUUAGUUAAAUUCAGAAGGUGGUGCGGUCGGGAUUGGACCAUCAUCAAGACAGGAACGACCCACAGGUGGAGCAGGUAGGUGACUUGCACCUUUCUUUUUCAUACGUUGAAUCUUGGAAUAUUUUAACUUGAGUACUACCAUAUUGUUAGAACCGAUAUUAAAUUGUCGAACGCUUAAUUGUUGAUAAAAGAGUGAUUAGCUUCGGCUAAUGGCAUCCGAAUGGAUGGCCGGGACAAAAGACUGAUUAGCUUCGGCUAAUGGCAUCCAAACGGAUGGCCGGGACAAAGAAUGAUUAGCUUUGGCUAAUGGCGUCCGAAUGGAUGGCCGGGAUGAAGGACUGAUUAGCUUCGGCUAAUGACAUCCAAACGGAUGGCCGGGACAAAGAGUGAUUAGCUUCGGCUAAUGGCAUCUGAAUGGAUGGCCGGGACAAAGAAUGAUUAGCUUUGGCUAAUGGCGUCCGAAUGGAUGGCCGGGUUAAAAAGGGAUGAUUUCGCUGCCGAUUGUGGAUCGGCAGCGACGCAGUUCCGCUGCCGAUUCUGGAUCGGCAGCGACACAGUAUUCGCUGCCGAUUCUGGAUCGGCCGCGACCCAGUUUCGCUGCCGAUUCCUUGAUCGGCAGCGAUGUAGUUUCGGCUGCCGAUUUUAGGAUUGGCAGCGACGCAGCUAUCGCUAUGCUAUCGCUAUGGAAUCCGGGACAAAUAAACGACUAGUUUUGGCGAAUGGCAUUUGAAAACUUGUGUAUCUAUAUGUACUACUAAUUGUUACAUCAAAUACAUGAAGAAAUUAUAAAUGUUAAUGCUUAUUUAAUUGCUAGGCCGUUAGUUACCAUUAUUAUUAUUAUUAAGUAUUUGUUUUCUCUUAAAUGUUUUGUACUGCUGCAGGGACGUCACACCAACGAGAUGUCUAGGAUACCCGAUACACGGGAACCUACUUUUGCAAGGAAUUAAGUAGAUGCAUUCUAAAUCACAAUGUAUUUUGUAGGGAUCAAUGUACUGAAUGUAUAACUUUUAUUAGAUCCUUUUUGUUUAAAAAUUGUGAUGGCUAUUAGAAGUAUAAGAGUGCAAACUCAUGUCCAUGUAUAUAUAUUUUUAAUAUGAACUUCAAAUCAUGCAACCUUAAUAUUAUGUGUUUGUGUAAGAUUCGCUUUUGAAUGAACUGUUGAUUGUUUGGAUUGUAUUUUGAUGAUGUGAGGAUUCAAGUUCUUUGAUUACCGGCACCAUGUGUAUUAAAUAUAUAUAUAUAUAUAAAAAAAAAAUUUACUAUUGUUUUGGGCUUAGAAAGCCGGGUUGUUACAGUUGGUAUCAGAGCACUUGGUAUGGAUCCUGAGGAUCAUUAAUAAAUGUGUUGUUGCGAUGAAUUUCAGGAUGGUACGCACCCGACAAGGGACAUGAACUGAGCCACCCUCCUUAGAAAGGAGGGGCAUGAACCGAGGUGCCCAAGGUUGGCAAGACGAAGAUCCCUUAGAUGAUACGGCAUCUCAUGCUCCGAUAAUACCGCCCGAAACUUUACAGGGGGAAGAUACGGUGGCAGGAGAAGGCCCGAGGUCUCAUCAGACAGAGGGAACACCCCCAGUCGCAACGGAGCAGCGAGAAAGAUCAGAAGCACAGCCAUCUACUGUUCCAACUGGUGUGCCCCCACAAUAUGUAGAUGCAGGACUCCUUGUACAAAUAGUUAAAGCAGUGAUGGAAGGCAUGGCUAGUUUAGCAGCACAAACAACCCCUACCACGCAGAUUCCACCAGCAGCCCCUACGACCAGCAUGACCAUGGAUAAUGUGGUACCACUGGUGCGACUAGUCAAGAGUAUGAGGGAAAUGGGCUGUGAACCGUAUAUGGGGGAACAAGAUGCAGAGAUAGCUGGAAGAUGGAUCAGGAAGGUAGAAAAGACAAUGAUUCAAAUAAGCAUACCCGAGGGUUUGAGGGUAAAUUGUGCAUCCCAGUUACUAUCUGAUAGGGCCAUGACAUGGUGGGAAACAGUUCAGCUGAGGCGUGCGACUGAGACCCUAACUUGGAGUGAUUUCAAGACAGAGUUUGAGAAUCAGUUUUAUUCCAAGUAUCAUCGCAAGGUGAAAGAACAAGAGUUCUUAGCAUUAAGACAGGGUGAUAUGUCAGUAUUGGAGUACGAAAGGAGAUUCCAUGACCUCUCAUUGUUCGCCCCACAUUAUGUGCCGACAGAGGAACAUAUGAUUGAAAAGUUGAGAGAUGGUUUACGACAGGAUUUGAGACAAGGAUUGAUCGCCUUGCGAUUUAAAUCGGUGAGGGAGUUGAUUGAGGCUGCACAAGCUCUGGAGGCAUGUAUUGGAGAAAGCCAAGGGGGGUAUCAGAGUAUAAGCAAAAAGAGAGAUGGGGACUAUUUCAGCGGCAGACCACCGCACCCGAAGAAAGGAAAAAGUGGAGUGUUUGAGCAGCACGGAAAGAAGGGGAGUUUGAUAUUACCGCCUCACCAACAGUCAAGUGGGAGAAUGAUGGCGGGACAGUCGCACUCGAGGGCAAACUCUUCAACUGGGACCGGUGACCGCAGGGGAGUUGACUAUCCUUUUUGUGUAAAAUGUGGACAAAAACACCCUGGGGACUGCUCAGUUUCCCCUGGGCGAUGCUUUGUGUGCAGAGGAGAGGGUCAUAGGUGGAGGAACUGCCAGUAUCUUAGCCAAGGGUGUCAUUACUGUGGUGGGAAAGGUCAUUACAAGAGGGACUGCUCCAAAAGAAACACCGGACAAGUACAGAGCUAUAGACAGCCCAGUCAGAGCCACCAGCAGUCAGUCACCGUUAAUAGGCCAGUGAGAUCUUCUCAAUCAGGGGCAAACUCCAGUCGAGGGAAGCCGAGGGCACAAAAUGAUCGGACCCCAGGGAGGGUCUUCCACCUGACACAGGAGGAGGCCAGGGCUGCAUCGGAUGUGGUGGCAGGUACACUACUGUUGAAUGAUUUUAAUAUGCAUGUAUUGUUUGAUCCGGGUGCCACCCACUCAUUCAUUGCUAAGAGAAGUGUCACUAAAUUGAGAAAGGAAGUAGAAAUAGUAGAGAAGGGGUUUGUAAUUGGAACUCCAAUGGGAAACAUGGUUGAAACAAAUAUUGUAUAUGUGGAUGUGGGGGUUAGUUUAUCCGGGUAUGAAACAGAAGUAGACUUGAUUCCCUUAGAGCUGCAUGAUUUUGACAUAAUACUAGGCAUGGAUUGGUUGAGUAAAUACAAGGCACUAAUAGAUUGUUAUGCUAAAACUGUUACUUUUCAAACACCUAAGGGCGAGAAAAUGACUUUUGAAGGAGAGAGAUUUCCCAAACUGAAUGCUUUAAUAUCGGUGGUAACAGCCCAAAAACUUUUAAGAAAGGGAUGUAUGGGAUACCUCGCAUACAUCUUAAACUCUGAUGAUGAAGGUCCACGAUUGAAGGAUAUUCCUGUGGUGAAGGAUUUCCCAGAUGUGUUUCCAGAAGAACUACCAGGACUACCCCCGGAGCAAGAGGUAGAGGUGUCUAUAGACACUUUUCCUGGAGUCCCACCCAUACCCAACAACCGUAUCGGAUGGCUCCAGCAGAACUGAACGAGUUAAAGACUCAAUUACAGGAAUUAUUAGACAAGGGGUUCAUACGGCCCAGUAAUUCUCCUUGGGGAGCACCGGUCCUAUUUGUAAGAAAGAAAGAUGGAACCCAUAGGCUUUGUAUUGACUAUCGACAGUUGAACAAAAUAACAAUGAAAAACAAGUAUCCGUUACCUCGGAUAGAUGAUUUGUUCGACCAAUUAAAGGGAGCGAGGGCAUUUUCGAAGAUAGAUCUGAGAUCAGGGUACUAUCAGAUGAAGAUUAAAGAAGCGGAUGUAGCAAAGACCGCAUUUAGAACUCGUUACGGACACUAUGAAUUUUUGGUGUUACCGUUCGGGUUGACGAACGCCCCAGCCCUCUUCAUGGAUUUGAUGAAUCGGGUUUUCCAACCAUACCUGGAUAAGUUUGUGGUGGUAUUCAUUGAUGAUAUACUGGUGUACUCGAAUUCUUUCAAGGAGCACGAAGAACACUUGAGACAAACCUUACAAACCUUGAGAGAUCACCAGUUAUAUGCAAAAUUGAGUAAAUGUGAAUUUUGGCUGAAAAGAGUGACGUUUUUGGGACAUGUCAUUUCAGCCGAAGGUGUUUUUGUCGACCCUCAAAAAGUCGAAGCAGUCUUGAAAUGGGAAAGACCGACUUCGGUCACUGAAAUACGUAGUUUCCUGGGACUUGCAGGAUACUAUCGGAGAUUUAUCGAAGGUUUUUCCCUGAUUGCAACCCCUUUGACCCAGCUAACUAGGAAGGAUAAGAAGUGGGUGUGGUCGGAAGAAUGUGAGGCAAGCUUCCAAGAAUUGAAGAGGAGGCUCACCACUGCUCCAGUCUUAACUCUCCCCUCAGAGACCGAGGGUUUUGUGGUAUAUAGUGAUGCCUCGGGGAAGGGAUUGGGGUGUGUUUUGAUGCAACAUGGGAAGGUGAUCGCCUAUGCAUCAAGGCAAUUAAAGACUCAUGAGGUGAACUACCCGGUGCACGACCUGGAGUUGGCAGCUGUAGUAUUUGCCUUGAGGAUAUGGAGACACUAUUUGUAUGGGUCUCGAACCCAAAUUUUUACUGAUCAUAAGAGCCUGAAGUAUCUGAUGUCGCAAAAGGAGUUGAACAUGCGGCAAAGAAGGUGGAUAGAGCUCAUUAAGGAUUAUGAUUGCACCAUAGAAUACCACCCGGGGAAAGCAAAUGUGGUGGCAGAUGCCCUCAGUCGCAAAAAUAAAGCCUCCUUGGGAAGCUUAACAGUGGGAAAGGAGCGGCAAUUGGCAGAAUUAAAAGAGUUGGGUGCAGAUUUGGGAAUUGAUGCAAGAGGUGGGUUAGUAGCCCAAUUAUUGGUGCGACCAACGUAUCGAGAACAGAUACUACAUGCCCAAUUCCAUGACAAGGUGGGAUCCAAGAUUAGGAAGAAUGUGGAGGCCGGGGUAGAAAUGAAAUUCCGAGUAGCGGAUGAUGGAUCCUUGAUGAUGGGACAACGGUUGUACGUGCCUGAUGACGAAACAGUCAAACGUAUGGUUCUGCAAGAAGCACAUGAGUCCAAAUUCUCCAUACAUCCUGGCAGUACUAAGAUGUACCGAGACCUGAAACACCUCUAUUGGUGGCCUAAUAUGAAAAGGGAAAUAGCUGAGUAUGUGUCAAAGUGUGGGAUAUGUCAACAAGUCAAGGUUGAACACCAAAGGCCUGCGGGACCAUUACAGCCAUUACAAAUUCCAGAAUGGAAGUGGGAGAUGAUCACCAUGGAUUUCGUGUCAGGAUUUCCCAAGGGGAGAAAAGGAAAUGAUGUAAUAUGGGUCAUUGUGGAUCGGUUGACGAAAUCCGCACUAUUCUUGCCUGUAAAGAUGACCGACUCGGUGGACAAGCUUGCCAAGAUCUACAUAAAUGAGGUGGUACGACUUCAUGGGAUUCCGGUGUCCAUUGUAUCGGAUCGAGAUCCUAGGUUCACCUCUCGACUUUGGCCGAGCAUACAACAUGCCUUGGGGACAAGAUUGGACAUGAGCACUGCGUUUCACCCUCAAACGGAUGGCCAAUCGAAAAGAGUCAUUCAAGUCUUGGAAGACCUAUUACGGGCAUGUGUGCUAGAAUUUGGAGGAAACUGGGAGGAACACAUGGCAUUGGUGGAGUUCACGUAUAACAAUAGUCACCAAGCCACAAUAGGGAUGGCCCCAUAUGAAGCCUUGUAUGGUAGGAGGUGUAGAACUCCUUUAUGUUGGGAGGAAAUUGGGGACCGGAAGUUAUAUGGCGCAGAGUUAGUUCAAGUCACCACGGAGAAAGUGAGAAUUAUCAGGGAUCGCAUCAAAGCCGCACAGGAUAGACAAAAGAAGUAUGCCGAUGUGAGGAGAAGACCUCUCGAGUUCAGUACGGGGGACCAGGUGUUCCUGAAGGUAGCCCCAUGGAAGAACAUGUUACGAUUUGGAUUGAAAGGAAAGUUAACUCCCCGUUUCAUUGGACCCUUCAAAAUCUUACAACGAGUUGGACCAGUAGCCUACAAGGUGGAUUUGCCCCCACAGUUAGCCAGGGUCCAUGAUGUGUUCCAUGUCUCCUUGUUAAGGAAGGCUAACGUAGACCCCGCCCGAGUUCUACCCCAGGUCCCAGUAGAGGUCAAGGAAGACUUAACACUGGAAUUGAGGCCCAUAAGGAUACUAGAUCAAGAAGUGAAGGAGUUACGGAGCAAAAAGAUCCCCAUCGUUAGAAUCUUAUGGCGAAAUGCUCAAGUAGAAGAGGAAACUUGGGAGAGGGAGGCUGAGAUGAGAAAAAAGUACCCCAAUUUAUUUGAUCUACCAGGUAUAGAGUGUGAAACUUCUUAAAUUUCGAGGAUGAAAUUCAUAUUUAAGAGGGGAGAAUGUAAACACCCAAAGGAAAAUAUAUAUAUAUAUUUAGAGAGAGAGAGAUGAUGAUGAAUGCAGAAAUCGGCAGCGACGCAGUUUUCGCUGCCGAUUCUGGACUGGGCAGCGAUGCAGUUUUCGCUGCCGAUUCUGGACUGGGCAGCGACGCAGUUUUCGCUGCCGAUGCAGAAAUCGGCAACGAUGCAGUUUUCGCUGCCGAUUCUGGACUUGGCAGCGACGCAACCUUCACUACCGAUACAGAAAUCGGUAGCGACACAGUUUUCGCUGCCCAUUUCUUGAUCGGCAGCGACGCAGUUUUCGCUGUCGAUGCAGAAAUCGGCAGCGACGCAGUUUUCGCUGCCGAUUUCUCAAUGAACAGUGACGCAGAGCUGGGAGGGAGGGGUAAAACUGAUUUUAGAUAAACCAAACAAGGAUAAGGACACACCUAAACCAACCCCCAAACAACCCAUUUCAUUGGAUGGGUAGUAUAAAUACAGAGAGGGGAGAGAGAAUGACCCAUCUUCUUCCAAAUCCAGCAGCUGCAUGCCGUUCUUCCCUUCCCCUUUCACAACAGAAACGUGAAUCAGACCAGUAGAGAUUACUUUGUGAACUUGUGAGGGAGAGAUGAGACCUUGAGAGAGGAGGGGGCAGCUGCAUAGAGGAGAGGAAAAAGAGAGCUGGAAAACAUGAGAGGAAGAAGAAGGAGGAGAACCAGCAGCUGAAUAGUGUCAAACCUUCCUCAAACUUAGUUAAAUUCAGAAGGUGGUGCGGUCGGGAUUGGACCAUCAUCAAGACAGGAACGACCCACAGGUGGAGCAGG